rnacentral:lncRNA from 1 species
AAAAAUUGUCUUCCAGGAAACUGAUCCUUGAUGCCAAAAAGCUCUACUCUCAUUGGUAUGUUGACCUCUGUCUUCACUGCCGAGUCAUAUAAGAGCCCAAAUGGAAUGAAAGGCCAGGACCCAAAACCUAACAAGUGUCUGCAGACCUGCAACUAAAUUCCUCAAGAACAGAUCCCAGCCUGUCAUACUACUACCAUCACUAUAUUCAGCAAAAGUCCCAUGAGAAGUCUUGGCAGUUACUCCUGUUAAAUUCAAAUUUCAUCAUGAUUCACUGUGACUUCUUCUUGAUUAUUGAAACUGGGCACUAGGCUAGCAUUUACUGCAGUAGUUUUGAUUGAUAGAUGUGAAAUCAGAAAGAACAAAG